GCUACGCUGAGACUCUACUUUGAUGACACAGGUGCUGGGAUAUGAAUGACAGCACAGCUCUGUGGUGGGUGAUCAAAGGCCCUGUGGUUGGCUCUAUCAUGUUAACUUUGUGCUUUUUAUUGGCAUUAUCGUCAUCCUUGUGCAGAAACUUCAGUCUCCAGACAUGGGAGGCAAUGAGUCCAGCAUCUACUUACAAAUUUAAGCCCGCGAGUCCCCAAGAAAGCCCGAGAGGACCCCCUGCCUGUGCCCUCAGACCAGCAUUCACUCCCUUUCCUAGCUGCGUGCAGAAAUGCUACUGCAAGCCACAGCGGGCUCAGCAGCACUCUUGCAAGAUGUCAGAACUGUCCACCAUUACUCUCGACUGGCCCGGUCCACCCUGCUGCUCAUCCCACUAUUCGGAAUCCACUACACAGUAUUUGCCUU
rnacentral:lncRNA from 1 species